GAUGAACGCUGGCGGCGUGCCUAAUACAUGCAAGUCGAACGAGUUCUCGUUGAUGAUCGGUGCUUGCACCGAGAUUCAACAUGGAACGAGUGGCGGACGGGUGAGUAACACGUGGGUAACCUGCCCUUAAGUGGGGGAUAACAUUUGGAAACAGAUGCUAAUACCGCAUAGAUCCAAGAACCGCAUGGUUCUUGGCUGAAAGAUGGCGUAAGCUAUCGCUUUUGGAUGGACCCGCGGCGUAUUAGCUAGUUGGUGAGGUAAUGGCUCACCAAGGCGAUGAUACGUAGCCGAACUGAGAGGUUGAUCGGCCACAUUGGGACUGAGACACGGCCCAAACUCCUACGGGAGGCAGCAGUAGGGAAUCUUCCACAAUGGACGCAAGUCUGAUGGAGCAACGCCGCGUGAGUGAAGAAGGCUUUCGGGUCGUAAAACUCUGUUGUUGGAGAAGAAUGGUCGGCAGAGUAACUGUUGUCGGCGUGACGGUAUCCAACCAGAAAGCCACGGCUAACUACGUGCCAGCAGCCGCGGUAAUACGUAGGUGGCAAGCGUUAUCCGGAUUUAUUGGGCGUAAAGCGAGCGCAGGCGGUUUUUUAAGUCUGAUGUGAAAGCCCUCGGCUUAACCGAGGAAGCGCAUCGGAAACUGGGAAACUUGAGUGCAGAAGAGGACAGUGGAACUCCAUGUGUAGCGGUGAAAUGCGUAGAUAUAUGGAAGAACACCAGUGGCGAAGGCGGCUGUCUGGUCUGUAACUGACGCUGAGGCUCGAAAGCAUGGGUAGCGAACAGGAUUAGAUACCCUGGUAGUCCAUGCCGUAAACGAUGAAUGCUAGGUGUUGGAGGGUUUCCGCCCUUCAGUGCCGCAGCUAACGCAUUAAGCAUUCCGCCUGGGGAGUACGACCGCAAGGUUGAAACUCAAAGGAAUUGACGGGGGCCCGCACAAGCGGUGGAGCAUGUGGUUUAAUUCGAAGCAACGCGAAGAACCUUACCAGGUCUUGACAUCUUUUGAUCACCUGAGAGAUCAGGUUUCCCCUUCGGGGGCAAAAUGACAGGUGGUGCAUGGUUGUCGUCAGCUCGUGUCGUGAGAUGUUGGGUUAAGUCCCGCAACGAGCGCAACCCUUAUGACUAGUUGCCAGCAUUUAGUUGGGCACUCUAGUAAGACUGCCGGUGACAAACCGGAGGAAGGUGGGGAUGACGUCAAAUCAUCAUGCCCCUUAUGACCUGGGCUACACACGUGCUACAAUGGAUGGUACAACGAGUUGCGAGGCCGCGAGGUCAAGCUAAUCUCUUAAAGCCAUUCUCAGUUCGGACUGUAGGCUGCAACUCGCCUACACGAAGUCGGAAUCGCUAGUAAUCGCGGAUCAGCACGCCGCGGUGAAUACGUUCCCGGGCCUUGUACACCCCGCCCGUCACACCAUGAGAGUUUGUAACACCCGAAGCCGGUGGCGUAACCCUUUUAGGGAGCGAGCCGUCUAAGGUGGGACAAAUGAUUAGGGUGAAGUCGUA
rnacentral:rRNA from 2 species